rnacentral:rRNA from 1 species
GACGAACGCUGGCGGCGUGCCUAAUACAUGCAAGUAGAACGCUGAAGGAGGAGCUUGCUUCUCCGGAUGAGUUGCGAACGGGUGAGUAACGCGUAGGUAACCUGCCUGGUAGCGGGGGAUAACUAUUGGAAACGAUAGCUAAUACCGCAUAACAGUAGAUAUCGCAUGAUAUCUGCUUGAAAGGUGCAAUUGCAUCACUACCAGAUGGACCUGCGUUGUAUUAGCUAGUUGGUGAGGUAACGGCUCACCAAGGCGACGAUACAUAGCCGACCUGAGAGGGUGAUCGGCCACACUGGGACUGAGACACGGCCCAGACUCCUACGGGAGGCAGCAGGAGGGAAUCUUCGGCAAUGGACGGAAGGCUGACCGAGCAACGCCGCGUGAGUGAAGAAGGUUUUCGGAUCGUAAAGCUCUGUUGUAAGAGAAGAACGAGUGUGAGAGUGGAAAGUUCACACUGUGACGGUAUCUUACCAGAAAGGGACGGCUAACUACGUG